CGGCGGACAGGUGAGUAACGCGUGGGCAACCUGCCUUCCACUGGGGGAUAACACAGGGAAACCUGUGCUAAUACCGCAUGACAUCACAUAGGGCAUCCUGUGUGAUCAAAGGAGUGAUCCGGUGGAAGAUGGGCCCGCGUCCGAUUAGCUAGUUGGUGAGGUAACGGCUCACCAAGGCGACGAUCGGUAGCCGGACUGAGAGGUUGGCCGGCCACAUUGGGACUGAGACACGGCCCAGGCUCCUACGGGAGGCAGCAGUGGGGAAUAUUGCGCAAUGGGGGGAACCCUGACGCAGCGACGCCGCGUGAAGGAAGAAGGCCUUCGGGUUGUAAACUUCUUUGAUGAGGGACGAAGGAAGUGACGGUACCUCAAAAACAAGCCACGGCUAACUACGUGCCAGCAGCCGCGGUAAUACGUAGGUGGCGAGCGUUGUCCGGAAUUACUGGGUGUA
rnacentral:rRNA from 1 species